UGGCUCAGGAUGAACGCUGGCGGCGUGCUUAACACAUGCAAGUCGAACGAUGAUCCGGUGCUUGCACCGGGGAUUAGUGGCGAACGGGUGAGUAACACGUGAGUAACCUGCCCUUGACUCUGGGAUAAGCCUGGGAAACCGGGUCUAAUACUGGAUAUGACUGCCGGCCGCAUGGUCUGGUGGUGGAAAGCUUUAUUGCGGUUUUGGAUGGACUCGCGGCCUAUCAGCUUGUUGGCGGGGUAAUGGCCCACCAAGGCGACGACGGGUAGCCGGCCUGAGAGGGUGACCGGCCACACUGGGACUGAGACACGGCCCAGACUCCUACGGGAGGCAGCAGUGGGGAAUAUUGCACAAUGGGCGCAAGCCUGAUGCAGCGACGCCGCGUGAGGGAUGAAGGCCUUCGGGUUGUAAACCUCUUUCAGUAGGGAAGAAGCGAAAGUGAC
rnacentral:rRNA from 1 species